CAUACAUUUCGGUGAACUGGAGCUGACCAGUUUGGUGCACCGACAAAGAUGUGGCCUUGGGAAGAUGGAACAAAUUCCUUGGCUAUGGCAAAAAAAAAGAAGUUAGAUAAAAUGGCUAGCUCUUGUUCUCUGUGUAGAUCAUCGGCAUUAAUUUUUUUCUAUCUCAUGGAUGUAGUGCGGGCCAAUUUUGACUUCAUUAAAAAGAUUGGACUUGAUAGGUGGUGUUUUCAUGACCGGGAUAUUACUCCUGAUGAUAAAACACUAGCGGAAUCUAACGCAAAUUUGGAUGAAGUGGUGGCUCUUGCAAAAUAACUUCAGGCCAAACUUCUGUGUCAGAGUAUGAUCUUGGAGAAGUAUAUCUGUUCAAGGUUCCAAAACCAUUUAUUGAGAACCAAGUUCUUUCACUUGAUUCUUGACAGCUGCAAUUUCUAUUAUUGCUAGAAAUGAAGAUGUAUUUCAUGCAACAAGGAGAUCCACUUAGUGAUAUCUUCUUCCAAUAUACUUUGUUGUUGUGAGAGACUAAUAAUUUGUUUGCGCGCAUGAUAAUAUGUAUAUUGAUAAUAAAGAAAAAAUUUGUUCUUUUA